GGAAAAGGAAAAAUAAAAUCUUAAAAAAAAAAAAUCACUUGGCACACCAAGAGCUCAGAAGAUCUCAAAUGGAAUGAAAAAAGACAAUCGAUAGAUGCAAGCAGCGAGAUGACAGGGAUGUUAGAAUUAUCUGACAAAGAUUUUUAAAGCAGCCAUUGUAAAAAUGCUUCAGUGAGCAAUUAUCAACACAUUUUGAAACCAAAAAAAAGGAGUCAGCCAAAAGACUCAGGAGAAAAAUUCUAUUUCACCAAGCAUUUUGAAAAAUCAUUGUCAAUUUCUGCAGCAAUGAAAAUAAACUCAAAGUUGUACUUUGACGUGAAAAUCUCACCGUCGGUAACAGACAAUUUGAGAGUGAAGAGGAGUGGUUGGUGUCCAGUCUUGGCUCCCGGAAAGCCAGGGUGACCAGGAUUUGGAUCAGGCCUGGCAUUCAGUCUGGGUGAGCACUUGACAGCAGGCGCAGAGCUGUGACACUGCAUGUUGCACAGUAGCAUUGGUGUUCCAGUCGAUUCCCUCCUGGACAGAGGAGCAAGAAGAAUAACAACUGAGAUUAGCAUCGAGUGACCAACACUGUAUUUGCAUCUGAAAGUGCCCACCACAAACAGCUGAGGCAGCCUUUGGGCAGGCGCAGAGGGAGCUUGAAUAAAUCCUCUCCUGCUUUCUGUCCUGUCCCAGGACUUGGAGUCAAGCCUCACACAGCUCUAGGCUCCACGAGAGAGCCCUCUGGAUUUAGUACUAACAUCCCAUCUCACAGGAAAUCAUCCCUAUCUCCAUUUAAACAACCUACUCACUGACAGAUUGCCGUAUCGACAUGUUUAAUUCCUCAACUUCAGUCCAUUCGCGUUCUUUUUCUCUUCCUUCCUGCUGUGUAUGGCUCCACCUCAUUCACCAGACAAGGGCUGUGGCCUGACAUUCCUUUGUUUCAUCAUUUGAAAAUGUCGGGGGGAACAGUCCUUGAAGCUGGCCAGAUUAAACCUCUCUAAUCCUGGGAAGCCGGUUAAUUUUUUCCUUCCCCGAGGAUGCGAGGGCAGUACCUUACUUGGUCAAUUGCUCUCAUACACAGCUCUGCCUUCUGUUGGGCAAAGCAGCAGGGACAAAGAAAUGGAAUUCCACUUCCUCCUCAGGGAAAGAGGAAAGCUUGAAAUUCUGAGUUUUCCCAGGCUGCCUCUGGGAUGCCAAGGAGGACUGGCUUGCAUAAUCUCACAAAAAUGUGACAUGCAACCUACGCCUCCAUAAGCUCUAAUAAUAUAGCGUCAAGGGAGUAGAGAAACCAAGAAACAUAUGCCUGAUUUCCUGACCUGAGCACAAUUAAAGGCCUCGACUGCGAAACCUAAGUGCCUCCAGACCAAGGAAAUGCAGACCCAGG
rnacentral:lncRNA from 1 species